rnacentral:lncRNA from 1 species
AAAACAUAAUAAUUUAGUUUAAGGGAACAUGAAGCUCAAUAGUUUGUCCCUGGUAGCAGUGUCAAAAUGUAGUUGGUCGGAAGGCUUUGUGCUCAGGGAAAAACUGCACACUUGAAGCUGUGCAAGGAAUAGAGGAUGCAAACAUUACUACUGAAAUAAUGAGGGGAGAGUCCUCACAACUACCUGAGAAUUCUAAUCUUACACAUCAACCUCUGCCAAAGGGAGGAGCGGUUUGGCCAUCACAGGUCAGUGUGAUGCUUACUAAUCCUCUUAUUCUGAUUCUACAAUAGUCAAGCAAAAAUGUGUGUAUUUUAAUUACAGAAUUUUUAUCAAGG